rnacentral:rRNA from 1 species
GAUGAACGCUAGCGGCAGGCCUAACACAUGCAAGUCGAGGGGCAGCAUUACCUUCGGGUAGAUGGCGACCGGCGCACGGGUGCGUAACGCGUAUGCAACCUACCUAUCACAUAGGGAUAGCCUCUAGAAAUGGAGAUUAAUACCUAAUGGCAUCUAAGUAUUGCAUGAUACUAAGAUUAAAGAUUUAUCGGUGAUAGAUGGGCAUGCGUGACAUUAGCUAGUUGGUAAGGUAACGGCUUACCAAGGCAACGAUCCCUAGCUGGUCUGAGAGGAUGAUCAGCCACACUGGAACUGAGACACGGUCCAG